ACGCGUGGGAAUCUGCCCUGGAGUGGGGGAUAACCGAGGGAAACCUCGGCUAAUACCGCAUACGGCCUGAGGGCGAAAGAUUUAUCGCUCUAGGAGGGGCCCGCGUCGGAUUAGCUUGUUGGCGGGGUAACGGCCCACCAAGGCUAUGAUCCGUAGCUGGUCUGAGAGGAUGAUCAGCCACACUGGGACUGAGACACGGCCCAGACUCCUACGGGAGGCAGCAGUGGGGGAUAUUGGACAAUGGGCGCAAGCCUGAUCCAGCAAUGCCUAGUUAGUGAUGAAGGCCUUAGGGUUGU
rnacentral:rRNA from 1 species